UAAGCAAAUCAUGGAGACUUGGCUGUUGACCUCAACACUCUCGUCUGCAUUGACCGCAGCCUUGACCUCUUCAAUAUCUUGGAUGUGAACCAGAAUUGGAAUAUUGGGUGUUCUUGUUUUUGAUACAUGUAAAGAGGUUUGGGGCAAUUAUGAUGCCUUCUGUGAAUCCCUCCAUCUGGGCUUAUCAAAAGAGGAGGAGGAACGAAGCAUGUGCUCUAAGUCCACCCAAAGUUUCAUCAAUAAGGUCCACAGAGAGGGAGAGCUACAUCCUGCAUUUUCUUGAGAUUUCUGCGAGGUUUUUGUUCGAAUAAGCAACAAGGUGCACGAUAUUGUUGAAGGGCAAGUCCUUCCAUGCCUGUCCAAAUUUGAAGUCAUUUUCAAUUCAAGCUCCACGAUAUAUUUUUUAUAAUAUAAUAAUGCUAGAAUUACGCUCGACCUCUGCAGCAUGCAUCGAGUAAUCGCGUUUGGAUUCCGAGUUCGACUGAUUUGAAAUGGUUCGGUGUCUGUGUUGUAUACAUGUAGCCCAAAGAAUAAAUUAAAAGGGUUUUGAAGAAAUUUGCCACACGGGAUCAUGUCUGUACGAUCGACCGAGAGCGUCAGCACCGUGGGCGUGCAACGACGUUUCGACUCGGAGGCUAUGUGAUUUCUUUUUCACAGGCAGCGGGUUUUUAUCCCUUAAUUUUUCCCAAAGGGUUCCUAUUGAUAUUAGAAAGGAUAGAUAGUUUAGAAAGAAAAAAAAACAUAUUUAUCCUUAAUCACAUUUAUUUUUAUAUUUUGUAUUUAUCUCUCUAACCCGAAACAUGUUUGUUCUUUUUAUAUUUAUAUUUGUACUUUCUAUUUUAAAACAAUAAUCAGUGCAUUAAUUAAACAGACAAUUACUAUCCAA